GUUGGUGAGGUAACGGCUCACCUAGGCGAAGACGGGUAGCCGGCCUGAGAGGGUGAACGGCCUCAUUGGGACUGAGACACGGCCCAAACUCCUACGGGAGGCAGCAGUAGGGAAUUUUCGGCAAUGGGGGAAACCCUGACCGAGCAACGCCGCGUGAAUGAUGACGGCCUUCGGGUUGUAAAGUUCUGUUAUAUGGGAAGAACGGCAUUUUUAGGGAAUGAAAAAUGUGUGACGGUACCAUAUGAGAAAGCCACGGCUAACUACGUGCCAGCAGCCGCGGUAAUACGUAGGUGGCAAGCGUUAUCCGGAAUUAUUGGGCGUAAAGAGUGAGUAGGCGGUCUAUUAAGUUCGAAGUCAAAUCCAGUUGCUCAACAACUGUUCGCUUUGAAGACUAAUAGGCUAGAGUGCAGGAGAGGUUAGCGGAAUUCCAUGUGUAGCGGUGAAAUGCGUAGAUAUAUGGAGGAACACCAGUGGCGAAGGCGGCUAACUGGCCUGUAACUGACGCUCAGUCACGAAAGCGUGGGGAGCAAAUAGGAUUAGAUACCCUAGUAGUCCACGCUGUAAACGUUGAGUGCUAAGUGUUGGGGAGACCCAGUGCUGAAGUAAACACAUUAAGCACUCCGCCUGAGGAGUACGUUCGCAAGAAUGAAACUUAAAGGAAUUGACGGGAGCCCGCACAAGCGGUGGAGCAUGUGGUUUAAUUCGACGCAACGCGAAGAACCUUACCAGGUCUUGACAUCCGACGCAAGACACUAGAGAUAGUGGGAUAGUUAUGGUCGAGACAGGUGGUGCAUGGUUGUCGUCAGCUCGUGUCGUGAGAUGUUUGGUUAAGUCCAACAACGAGCGCAACCCUUGUCCUUAGUUACCAUCAUUAAGUUGGGGACUCUAAGGAGACUGCCGGUGUAAAUCGGAGGAAGGUGGGGAUGACGUCAAAUCAUCAUGCCCUUUAUGACCUGGGCUACACACGUGCUACAAUGGGCGGUACAAUGAGAUGCAAAACGGUGACGUGAAGCAAACCUCAAAAAACCGCUCCCAGUUCGGAUUGAAGUCUGCAACUCGACUUCAUGAAGUUGGAAUCGCUAGUAAUCGCGAAUCAGCUACGUCGCGGUGAAUACGUUCCCGGG
rnacentral:rRNA from 1 species